rnacentral:ncRNA from 1 species
ACGGUUCUCCGAGCCUGCUGCGCCUAAGGGUGAAAGCCUACGGACUUCAGGCCGACAGGGUCGCUUUCGGAAACGAGACGGCCUCCCUCUGGAAAGGCGAAC